rnacentral:misc_RNA from 1 species
GAAACAGCGUCAGAAACAAAAAAGGGAAAAAAUAUUUUAGCAAUUUGAUUGACAACUAAACUAGUGUCAAAAAAGGGGUGAAAAAGAAUACCUGAGGUUUUUCAAAGUUUAAAUUUCAAACAAGAAGAAAAAUGAAUAACAAAAAGUGCUAGAAGGAACAAAAAGGUACAAGCAUAUUUUACAAAAGAAAACAAGAAAGGCCGCUAAACAAUUUAUUUAUCAAUGGGUAUCCACCGCAGUUGGACAAUUCUAUUGCAUGUUGUUAAAUUAGACAAUACAGCCCUUAAAAACAAAAAUGAAGAACUUCAGCUGAGAAUCAUCAUUGAGAAACAUAAAAAAAUUCCACAUGUCCGCCAACCCAAAA